rfam:Mycobacterium palustre strain DSM 44572 contig_38, whole genome shotgun sequence.
GCGUGCCCGUGCAUCGUGGCCUCUGCCCGAACCGACCCUGGCGUACUUCCCCAACGCCAGGUUCGCGCCUUCGGACAGGGACCCGGGUGCAGGGGCCACGCCGU